rnacentral:lncRNA from 1 species
GUGCAAUUUAUUUUUUGAUUCCUAAUAUUCAUAAUUAAUUCUUGUGCAGAAGAAAAUUUAUGAACUGUUUGAACUCUAUAACAUGUCAUUACGGCACAAACAGUGUAACUUUGGUUGUGAUUUUGCCCUAUAAGAGUGAAAGGGACUAAAGUACUUGAUUAUAUUAAAGUGAAAUUUAUGCUGUGCUUUUGGUCUUGAUUUGUGACAUCUAAUUAGCACCUUUGCCUUCACGCCUCCAGCGCCCCUUGUCUGGUGUUCAUCCUGCCAGCACAGGGACCCCCAACCCCUUGGAAGGUAAACAAGAUAAACUACAGAAAGCUGUACAGCAUAUACUGUCUCUUCUGGAAGAGAUGAAAACUGACGUGAAAGACGUGAAAAAUAGGCUUGCGCAGAUGGAGUGCCAAACCCAAGAAAAGGAGCUGACAUCUGACACAAGGGUUACAGUUUCCCUUAAAAUCUUCAGAGGAUGUAGAAUAUCUCAAGUUGGAUUUAAAGACAGAUCCAGGAAAACGUGCACGCUUGGAAUGCUAUUUGGCAAUGAGGGGAGGCUUUAGCUUAAAGCUCGUGGUCAAGAGUAUACUGUCUGUGCUUUUUUCAACACAAUUAGCCCGGUGUUACAACUAUAACGGCCUGAAGGGAAAGAAGGGUCUGAAAAACCACCCCUUUAUUUUAAGAACAGUUCAGGAUGCUGCAAGAAAAAGUUAUCCUGAUGCUACGGAAGUGGAACUGCAAGUUCAGAUUUCGAGCUGGCUGACUGGGGCGAGAGAUCGCGAAAAUGGGAGAAAAGAAAGACUUUUAAAGCCUAUAAAUAAUUCUGGGGUUGAGGGUGAAUUACAGGAGAAUUAAAGCUGUAAAAAUUUCAACCGAUAUUUGUCUGGAAAACUCUGACAUAAACCUGUACAGGUCAAUGCUUUAAGAAUUUGUGUAAAUAAUCAUUUUUUUAAUUAACAAUUAAAUAAACAUCAGUAAACAAAAA